GGGGAAGAAGAUUUUGACUGUAAUCUCUGAUCAGACUUAGAAUCUGAAAUUACUUAUGAAUUGUCUACAUCCUAUGACCAGAGAGUUCAUCCACAAUGGCUACCACCUAUCGAACUAUUUGUUAGACUGGUUGAAUCAAAACCCAAACCAUCGAUUGAGGAAGCACCAAAACUAGAACUUAAAAUACUCCCUCAGCACAUCGAGUAUAU
rnacentral:lncRNA from 1 species